rnacentral:rRNA from 1 species
UGGGGAAUUUUGGACAAUGGGGGCAACCCUGAUCCAGCAAUGCCGCGUGUGUGAAGAAGGCCUUCGGGUUGUAAAGCACUUUUGUCCGGAAAGAAAACUUCGGGGCUAAUACCCCUGGAGGAUGACGGUACCGGAAGAAUAAGCACCGGCUAACUACGUGCCAGCAGCCGCGGUAAUACGUAGGGUGCGAGCGUUAAUCGGAAUUACUGGGCGUAAAGCGUGCGCAGGCGGUGCUGUAAGACCGAUGUGAAAUCCCCGGGCUUAACCUGGGAACUGCAUUGGUGACUGCAGCGCUGGCGUGUGGCAGAGGGGGGUGGAAUUCAUCGUGUAGCAGUGAAAUGCGUAGAGAUGUGGAGGAACACCGAUGGCGAACGCAGCCCGCUGGGCCAAUACUGACGCUCAUGCACGAAAGCGUGGGGAGCAAACAGG